AACACGUAGUUUCGUGUUUCUUGGCCGACAAUUCUUUGCUGUUUGUAUGCAAGAUAAGUUCCUGGCCAACGCUCUUCGGACCUACGCUUUGUCCGAGGAAAAUCCGAUCGUGUGUACCAGGCUUUACAGACCUUCUCCACACUAUAAGUGUGCAUGAGGAUAUUUGUCAUGAGGAGAGUGUCAGUUUCUCUAUGCCAGCACAAAGUAAAAAAAAAGUGAAAGGACUGCAAGCACAUUUUCACUGUGAAAUAAAUGUAUUUUAAGGCAAGUGAAAAUCAUGGUAAGACUUUAAUUGAGCUUUAAGGUUAUCAGACCAGCUUUCAUAAUUUAAUAACAUAAGCAACAUUAUAGGUCUUUGAACAUUUUGGAAGGAAUGCAGGAAAGCCAGAAGAAAUCCAUCCGAUGAAUUACAUAUUUAUACUAUUGGACAUAAUUGGACAUUUGUUACAGAUUCUUGAACAUGAAACAUUCCACAAUUAACAGACCAUUUUAGAGAAUGGUACAUUUUAGUGGCAGACUAUAAAAAAAACUCCAGGCAAAAAGCUAAAUACAUGGAUUAAAUAAAUAUAUUUGAGUGUUUUUUUGCCAAAAUAUUUGUAAUUCUAUGCAGCCAUUCUUGUGAUUUUAACACUUCUGCUAGACUGCAUAGAAAGUGACACCACUAUUUUCUGAUGCAAUUUUGUAAUUUACUGUGUAAUCUGCGCCAUCCGCUCGAAAAUAAAUGAAGAUGAUCACAUUGCUAAGUAAAGAACCUCAAACAGUCAGUAUGAUUUUUGUUCUGCAGUUUGAAUUGUGUAUAGAUAAUAUAUUUCAGACAGCUACACUAGCAUAAUGAUAAAAUAAUUAAAUGAAUAUGUAACACCCAUUUUUUUUUAUAUAUUUGCCUGGAGUUCCACUUUAACCGAAUUUAUCCAAAUGCAAAUAAAAUGUCAUUGGUCUGUAGAACAAACAUGCCCCAAUUACCUACUGACAUACCCUAAGAGUAAGGAAACUCUACAUUUAAAACAGUUUAAUAGCAUUUUUUUUGUUCAAUGUUUUCAGUGUAUGAUUAGGUUCUAGCACUAAGGAAAUCAGCAGCACUUCAACUAUUAUAGAAAAGUAAAAAUGUUCUUUGUACAGUGUCAUCUAAUUGUGAAUCUAAAGUUGUUUUCAUUUCUUUACAGAGAAUAAAAUAUAUUGAACUUGG